GACAGAGGUGGCAAGCGUUGUUCGGAAUUAUUGGGCUUAAAGGGCGCGUAGGCGGUGGUGUAAGUCUGAGGUGGAAUCCUGCAGCUUAACUGUGGGACUGCCUUGGAAACUGCAUCACUUGAGUCAAGCAGGGGAAGGCGGAAUUCCGAGUGUAGGGUGAAAUCCGUAGAUAUUCGGAGGAACACCAGUGGCGAAGGCGGCUUUCUGGACCAAUACUGACGCUGAGACGCGAAAGCGUGGGGAGCAAAC
rnacentral:rRNA from 1 species